rnacentral:rRNA from 1 species
UACGGGAGGCAGCAGUGGGGAAUAUUGCACAAUGGGCGCAAGCCUGAUGCAGCCAUGCCGCGUGUAUGAAAAAGGCCUUCGGGUUGUAAAGUACUUUCAGUCGUGAGGAAGGUGUUAAGGUUAAUAACCUUAGCAAUUGACGUUAGCGACAGAAGAAGCACCGGCUAACUCCGUGCCAGCAGCCGCGGUAAUACGGAGGGUGCGAGCGUUAAUCGGAAUUACUGGGCGUAAAGGGCACGCAGGCGGUUAAUUAAGUUGGAUGUGAAAUCCCCGGGCUUAACCUGGGAAUGGCAUUCAAGACUGGUUAGCUAGAGUCUUGUAGAGGGGGUAGAAUUCCAUGUGUAGCGGUGAAAUGCGUAGAGAUGUGGAGGAAUACCGGUGGCGAAGGCGGCCCCUGGGACAAAGACUGACGCUCAUGUGCGAAAGCGUGGGGAGCAAACAGGGAUUAGAUACCCGU